AACGAACGCUGGCGGCGCGUCUUAAGCAUGCAAGUCGAACGGCAAGAGAGGAGCUUGCUUCUCUCCUAGAGUGGCGGACUGGUGAGGAACACGUGGGUAAUCUACCCUUAAGAUGGGGAUAGCUGCUAGAAAUAGCAGGUAAUACCGAAUACACUCGGCAUAUCACAAGAGGUGUUGAGGAAAGGAAGCUACGGCUUCGCUUGAGGAUGAGCUUGCGUCCCAUUAGCUAGUUGGUGAGGUAAAGGCCCACCAAGGCGACGAUGGGUAUCCGGCCUGAGAGGGUGAACGGACACAUUGGGACUGAGAUACGGCCCAAACUCCUACGGGAGGCAGCAGCGAAGAAUAUUCCGCAAUGGACGGAAGUCUGACGGAGCGACGCCGCGUGGAUGAAGAAGGCUGAAAAGUUGUAAAAUCCUUUUGUUGAUGAAGAAUAAGGGUGAGAGGGAAUGCUCAUCUGAUGACGGUAAUCGACGAAUAAGCCCCGGCUAAUUACGUG
rnacentral:rRNA from 1 species